UCGAGGAUCUUUCGCAAUGGGCGAAAGCCUGACGAAGCGACGCCGUGUGAGCGAUGAAGGCCUUCGGGUUGUAAAGCUCUUUCGCCUGUGAACAAGAGAGAGAUGUGAAUAACAUUUUAAUUUGAGCGUAGCAGGUAAAGAAGCACCGGCUAACUACGUGCCAGCAGCUGCGGUAAUACGUAGGGUGCAAGCAUUAAUCGGAAUUAUUGGGCGUAAAGGGCGCGUAGGCGGAUUUGUAAGUCAGAUGUGAAAUUCCGGGGCUCAACCUCGGAGCUGCAUUUGAAACUGUGAGUCUAGAGGGUUGACGGAGAAAACGGAAUUCCACGUGUAGCGGUGAAAUGCGUAGAUAUGUGGAAGAACACCAGUGGCGAAAGCGGUUUUCUAGUUAACAACUGACGCUGAGGCGCGAGAGCAAGGGGAGCAAACAGGAUUAGAUACCCCCGUAGUCC
rnacentral:rRNA from 1 species